GACCUACGGGGGGCAGCAGUGAGGAAUAUUGGUCAAUGGGUGGGAGUCUGAACCAGCCAAGUCGCGUGAAGGAAGAAGGUACUUAGUAUUGUAAACCUCUUUUGCCGGGGAGCAACGGGGUCCUUGCGAGGGCCCGAUGAGAGUACCCGGAGAAAAAGCAUCGGCUAACUCCGUGCCAGCAGCCGCGGUAAUACGGAGGAUGCGAGCGUUAUCCGGAUUUAUUGGGUUUAAAGGGUGCGUAGGCGGGCUGUUAAGUCAGCGGUCAAAUGUCGGGGCUCAACCCCGGCCUGCCGUGGCAACUGGCG
rnacentral:rRNA from 1 species